UAUAGAAAUGGAACCAAGCCAUUGCUAUGGACAUUUGUAUAUUCAAUUAUUGAAGUAGUGGUAAAAAUCUGUGUAUAAAAGACAGAGGGAAUUCACUAAUAUUCACCAGUCUUCAAGAUUUCAUUCCAGGACAAGAAGCUCAGUUCAACAGAAAUAUCUAACGAAAAAAAUAAAAAAAAAUGUUGUACCGUACAAUUGCUUCAACUGAUUCAGAGAAUGAACAUUUCAGCGAAUCAAUUGAUAUGAGACCGUCUUUUUCAAAAACAAAACCUGGUACAAAACGUGCUGCAGAAAAAACAAGUGUGAAAAAACCUAUGAAAAAGAAGCAGAAUAAAAUGGUAGUAUAAAUAAUAUUUUUUUUAUAAUGAUAGCAUAAAUAAUUCAAAUUUUUUUUAUAGAAUGUGUCAUACAGAGAUAAUGUCAGCGAACGUUUGAGAUCGGAAGAAUUUGAUGUUGAGAUAUUUAAUUCGCUAACAUUUAGACAAGGGGAUGGUGUUGUAACAAUAAAAACGCCUUUUGAAGAAAAAGGCAAGGAGCUUUGGGUAAUAAGCCACUAUAAGGUUGCCAACAUUGAGAAUGUGCCAGUAAAGGACAGAUGGAAGUUCAGCGAAGCUACUGUUAGAUUGUA